rnacentral:rRNA from 1 species
CCUACGUGGGGCAGCAGUGGGGAAUAUUGCGCAAUGGGCGAAAGCCUGACGCAGCGACGCCGCGUGAGGGAUGAAGGACUUCGGAUCGUAAACCUCUGUCAGCAGGGAAGAAUGGUCACUGUGCUAAUCAGCAGUGAAUUGACGGUACCUGCAAAGGAAGCACCGGCUAACUCCGUGCCAGCAGCCGCGGUAAUACGGAGGGUGCGAGCGUUAAUCGGAAUUACUGGGCGUAAAGCGCUCGUAGGCGGUAUGUCAAGUCAAGGGUGAAAUCCCCGCGCUCAACGUGGGAACUGCCUUUGAAACUGGCAAACUGGAGUGUGUGAGAGGAUAGUGGAAUUCCAGGUGUAGGAGUGAAAUCCGUAGAUAUCUGGAGGAACAUCAGUGGCGAAGGCGACUAUCUGGCACAUAACUGACGCUGAGGAGCGAAAGCGUGGGUAGCAAACAGGAUUAGAUACCCUAGUAGUC